GACGAACGCUGGCGGCGUGCCUAACACAUGCAAGUCGAACGGAGUUAAGCUCUUCGGAACUUGACUUAGUGGCGAACGGGUGAGUAACGCGUGAGGAACCUGCCUUUCAGUGGGGGACAACAGUUGGAAACGACUGCUAAUACCGCAUGAUACUUUUGGGAGACAUCUCCUGGAAGUCAAAGCUUUAUGUGCUGAAAGAUGGCCUCGCGUCUGAUUAGCUGGUUGGUGAGGUAACGGCUCACCAAGGCAACGAUCAGUAGCCGGUCUGAGAGGAUGAACGGCCACAUUGGGACUGAGAUACGGCCCAGACUCCUACGGGAGGCAGCAGUGGGGAAUAUUGGGCAAUGGGGGAAACCCUGACCCAGCAACGCCGCGUGAAGGAAGAAGGCCUUCGGGUUGUAAACUUCUUUUACCAGGGACGAAGGACGUGACGGUACCUGGAGAAAAAGCAACGGCUAACUACGUG
rnacentral:rRNA from 1 species